CAGGCCUAACACAUGCAAGUCGAGCGCGUAGCAAUACGAGCGGCAGACGGGUGAGUAACACGUGGGAAUCUACCUUUUGCUACGGAACAACUCCGGGAAACUGGAGCUAAUACCGUAUGUGCCCUUUGGGGGAAAGAUUUAUCGGCAAGAGAUGAGCCCGCGUCGGAUUAGCUAGUUGGUGGGGUAAAGGCCUACCAAGGCGACGAUCCGUAGCUGGUCUGAGAGGAUGAUCAGCCACACUGGGACUGAGACACGGCCCAGACUCCUACGGGAGGCAGCAGUGGGGAAUAUUGGACAAUGGGGGCAACCCUGAUCCAGCCAUGCCGCGUGAGUGAUGAAGGCCCUAGGGUUGUAAAGCUCUUUCACCGGUGAAGAUAAAGACGGUAACCGGAGAAGAAGCCCCGGCUAACUUCGUGCCAGCAGCCGCGGUAAU
rnacentral:rRNA from 1 species